AUUGAACGCUGGCGGAAUGCUUUACACAUGCAAGUCGAACGGCAGCACGGGGCAACCUGGUGGCGAGUGGCGAACGGGUGAGUAAUACAUCGGAACGUGCCCAAUCGUGGGGGAUAACGUAGCGAAAGUUACGCUAAUACCGCAUACGAUCUACGGAUGAAAGCGGGGGAUCGCAAGACCUCGCGCGAGUGGAGCGGCCGAUGUCAGAUUAGGUAGUUGGUGGGGUAAAGGCUCACCAAGCCAACGAUCUGUAGCUGGUCUGAGAGGACGACCAGCCACGCUGGAACUGAGACACGGUCCAGACUCCUACGGGAGGCAGCAGUGGGGAAUUUUGGACAAUGGGCGCAAGCCUGAUCCAGCCAUUCCGCGUGCAGGAUGAAGGCCUUCGGUUGUAAACUGCUUUUGUACGGACGAAACGGACGAGCUCUAAUACAGUUUGCUAAUGACGGUACCGUAAGAAUAAAGCACCGGCUAACUACGUGCCAGCAGCCGCGGUAAU
rnacentral:rRNA from 1 species